rnacentral:rRNA from 1 species
ACCGAUCGUAGUCCGGAUCGCAGUCUGCAACUCGACUGCGUGAAGUCGGAAUCGCUAGUAAUCGUGAAUCAGAAUGUCACGGUGAAUACGUUCCCGGGCCUUGUACACACCGCCCGUCACACCAUGGGAGUGGGUUGCUCCAGAAGUAGCUAGUCUAACCGCAAGGGGGACGGUUACCACGGAGUGAUUCAUGACUGGGGUGAAGUCGUAACAAGGUAGCCGUAGGGGAACCUGCGGCUGGAUCACCUCCUUA